UGGGGAAUAUUGGACAAUGGGCGAAAGCCUGAUCCAGCCAUGCCGCGUGUGUGAAGAAGGUCUUCGGAUUGUAAAGCACUUUAAGUUGGGAGGAAGGGCAGUAAAUUAAUACUUUGCUGUUUUGACGUUACCGACAGAAUAAGCACCGGCUAACUCUGUGCCAGCAGCCGCGGUAAUACAGAGGGUGCAAGCGUUAAUCGGAAUUACUGGGCGUAAAGCGCGCGUAGGUGGUUUGUUAAGUUGGAUGUGAAAUCCCCGGGCUCAACCUGGGAACUGCAUCCAAAACUGGCAAGCUAGAGUAUGGUAGAGGGUGGUGGAAUUUCCUGUGUAGCGGUGAAAUGCGUAGAUAUAGGAAGGAACACCAGUGGCGAGGGCGACCACCUGGACUGAUACUGACACUGAGGUGCGAAAGCGUGGGGAGCAAACAGGAUUAGAUACCCUUGUAGUCCCUGAGCGGGCUGGCAAGGCGCAU
rnacentral:rRNA from 1 species